rnacentral:rRNA from 1 species
CAGUAGCCGCGGUAAUACGGAGGGUGCAAGCGUUAAUCGGAAUUACUGGGCGUAAAGCGCACGCAGGCGGUCUGACAAGUCAGAUGUGAAAUCCCCGGGCUUAACCUGGGAACUGCAUUUGUGACUGUAUAGCUAGAGUACGGCAGAAGGGGAUGGAAUUCCGCGUGUAGCAGUGAAAUGCGUAGAUAUGCGGAGGAACACCGAUGGCGAAGGCAAUCCCCUGGGCCUGUACUGACGCUCAUGCACGAAAGCGUGGGGAGCAAACAGGAUUAGAUACCCGUGUAGUCCCUGUCUCUUAUAC